rnacentral:rRNA from 1 species
AGUGAACGCUGGCGGUAGGCCUAACACAUGCAAGUCGAACGGCAGCACAGUAAGAGCUUGCUCUUACGGGUGGCGAGUGGCGGACGGGUGAGGAAUACAUCGGAAUCUACUUUUUCGUGGGGGAUAACGUAGGGAAACUUACGCUAAUACCGCAUACGACCUACGGGUGAAAGCAGGGGAUCUUCGGACCUUGCGCGAUUGAAUGAGCCGAUGUCGGAUUAGCUAGUUGGCGGGGUAAAGGCCCACCAAGGCGACGAUCCGUAGCUGGUCUGAGAGGAUGAUCAGCCACACUGGAACUGAGACACGGUCCAGACUCCUACGGGAGGCAGCAGUGGGGAAUAUUGGGCAAUGGGCGCAAGCCUGAUCCAGCCAUGCCGCGUGGGUGAAGAAGGCCUUCGGGUUGUAAAGCCCUUUUGUUAGGAAAGAAAAGCAGCAGGUUAAUACCCCGCUGUUCUGACGGUACCCAAAGAAUAAGCACCGGCUAACUUCGUG